rnacentral:rRNA from 1 species
CCUUUUGUAUAAUGGGUCAGCGACUUAUAUUCAGUAGCGAGGUUAACCGUAUAGGGGAGCCGUAGAGAAAUCGAGUCUUAAUAGGGCGUUUAGUUGCUGGGUAUAGACCCGAAACCAGGCGAUCUAUCCAUGAGCAGGUUGAAGGUUGGGUAACACUAACUGGAGGACCGAACCCACUGUCGUUGAAAAGCCAGGGGAUGACUUGUGGAUAGGGGUGAAAGGCUAAUCAAGCCUGGUGAUAGCUGGUUCUCCCCGAAAGCUAUUUAGGUAGCGCCUCGGACGAAUACCAUAGGGGGUAGAGCACUGUUUCGGCUAGGGGGUCAUCCCGACUUACCAAACCGAUGCAAACUCCGAAUACCUAUGAGUACUAUCCGGGAGACAGACUGCGGGUGCUAACGUCCGUAGUCAAGAGGAAAACAAUCCAGACCGCCAGCUAAGGCCCCAAAAUCAUAGUUAAGUGGGAAACGAUGUGGGAAGGCAUAGACAGCUAGGAGGUUGGCUUAGAAGCAGCCACCCUUUAAAGAAAGCGUAAUAGCUCACUAGUCGAGUCGGCCUGCGCGGAAGAUGUAACGGGGCUAAAACUAUGUGCCGAAGCUGCGGAUUUGACAUUAGUCAAGUGGUAGGGGAGCGUUCUGUAAGCCGAUGAAGGUGUAUUGAGAAGUAUGCUGGAGGUAUCAGAAGUGCGAAUGCUGACGUGAGUAACGACAAAACGGGUGAAAAACCCGUUCGCCGAAAGACCAAGGGUUCCAGUCCAACGUUAAUCGGGGCUGGGUGAGUCGACCCCUAAGGCGAGGCCGAAAGGCGUAGUCGAUGGGAAAAUGGUUAAUAUUCCAUUACUUCUGUGUAAUGCGAUGAGAGGACGGAGAAGGCUAAAUCAGCCUGGCGUUGGUUGUCCAGGUGAAAGGAUGUAGGCAUGUAUCUUAGGCAAAUCCGGGGUACUCUAUGCUGAGAUCUGAUAGCAAGCUGUACUUGUACAGCGAAGUGGUUGAUGCC